rnacentral:rRNA from 1 species
AUAGGGGAGCCGUAGGGAAACCGAGUCUUAACUGGGCGAAUGAGUUGCAGGGUAUAGACCCGAAACCCGGUGAUCUAUCCAUGGGCAGGUUGAAGGUUGGGUAACACUAACUGGAGGACCGAACCGACUAAUGUUGAAAAAUUAGCGGAUGACUUGUGGAUGGGGGUGAAAGGCCAAUCAAACCGGGAGAUAGCUGGUUCUCCCCGAAAGCUAUUUAGGUAGCGCCUCGUGAACUCAUCUUCGGGGGUAGAGCACUGUUUCGACUAGGGGGUCAUCCCGACUUACCAACUCGAUGCAAACUGCGAAUACCGAAGAAUGUUAUCACGGGAGACACACGGCGGGUGCUAACGUCCGUCGUGAAGAGGGAAACAACCCAGACCGCCAGCUAAGGUCCCAAAGUCAUGGUUAAGUGGGAAACGAAGUGGGAAGGCUCAGACAGCCAGGAUGUUGGCUUAGAAGCAGCCAUCAUUUAAAGAAAGCGUAAUAGCUCACUGGUCGAGUCGGCCCGCGCGGAAGAUGUAACGGGGCUAAACCAUGCACCGAAGCUGCGGCAGCGACACAAAGUGUUGUUGGGUAGGGGAGCGUUCUGUAAGCCUGCGAAGGUGUACUGUGAGGUAUGCUGGAGGUAUCAGAAGUGCGAAUGCUGACAUAAGUAACGAUAAUGCGGGUGAAAAACCCGCACGCCGGAAGACCAAGGGUUCCUGUCCAACGUUAAUCGGGGCAGGGUGAGUCGACCCCUAAGGCGAGGCUGAAAAGCGUAGUCGAUGGGAAACGGGUUAAUAUUCCCGUACUGGUGGUAACUGCGAUGGGGGAACGGAGAAGGCUAGGUUGUCCGGGCGACGGUCGUCCCGGUUCAAGCAGGUAGGCAGAGUGAUUAGGCAAAUCCGGUCACUUAAUGCUGAGAUGUGAUGACGAACCACUAAGGUGGUGAAGCAAUUGAUGCCCCGCUUCCAGGAAAAGCCUCUAAGCUUCAGGUUACCAACAAUCGUACCCCAAACCGACACAGGUGGUCAGGUAGAGAAUACUCAGGCGCUUGAGAGAACUCGGGUGAAGGAACUAGGCAAAAUGGUGCCGUAACUUCGGGAGAAGGCACGCUGGCGGUAGGUAAAGUCCCUNNNNNNNNNNNNNNNNNNNNNNNNNNNNNNNNNNNNNNNNNNNNNNNNNNNNNNNNNNNNNNNNNNNNNNNNNNNNNNNNNNNNNNNNNNNNNNNNNNNNAAGCCAGUCGAAGAUACCAGCUGGCUGCAACUGUUUAUUAAAAACACAGCACUGUGCAAACACGAAAGUGGACGUAUACGGUGUGACGCCUGCCCGGUGCUGGAAGGUUAAUUGAUGGGGUUAGCGCAAGCGAAGCUCCUGAUCGAAGCCCCAGUAAACGGCGGCCGUAACUAUAACGGUCCUAAGGUAGCGAAAUUCCUUGUCGGGUAAGUUCCGACCUGCACGAAUGGCGUAAUGAUGGCCAGGCUGUCUCCACCCGAGACUCAGUGAAAUUGAACUCGCUGUGAAGAUGCAGUGUACCCGCGGCAAGACGGAAAGACCCCGUGAACCUUUACUAUAGCUUGACACUGAACAUUGAGCCUUGAUGUGUAGGAUAGGUGGGAGGCUUUGAAGUGUGGACGCCAGUCUGCAUGGAGCCAACCUUGAAAUACCACCCUUUAACGUUUGAUGUUCUAACCUAGGCCCAUAAACUGGGUCGGGGACCGUGUCUGGUGGGUAGUUUGACUGGGGCGGUCUCCUCCUAAAGAGUAACGGAGGAGCACGAAGGUUGGCUAAGCAUGGUCGGACAUCAUGCGGUUAGUGCAAAGGCAUAAGCCAGCUUGACUGCGAGAGUGACGGCUCGAGCAGGUACGAAAGUAGGUCUUAGUGAUCCGGUGGUUCUGAAUGGAAGGGCCAUCGCUCAACGGAUAAAAGGUACUCCGGGGAUAACAGGCUGAUACCGCCCAAGAGUUCAUAUCGACGGCGGUGUUUGGCACCUCGAUGUCGGCUCAUCACAUCCUGGGGCUGAAGUAGGUCCCAAGGGUAUGGCUGUUCGCCAUUUAAAGUGGUACGCGAGCUGGGUUUAGAACGUCGUGAGACAGUUCGGUCCCUAUCUGCCGUGGGCGUUGGAAGAUUGAGAGGGGUUGCUCCUAGUACGAGAGGACCGGAGUGAACGCACCACUGGUGUUCGGGUUGUCAUGCCAAUGGCAUUGCCCGGUAGCUAAGUGCGGAAGAGAUAACCGCUGAAAGCAUCUAAGCGGGAAACUUGCCUCGAGAUGAGUCUUCCCUGUCGCUUUAAGCGACCUAAAGGAACGUUUAAGACUAAGACGUUGAUAGGCUGGGUGUGUAAGCGUAGCGAUACGUUGAGCUAACCAGUACUAAUGAACCGUGAGGCUUAACCUG